AUGUCCCCAACCUGCAGCCGCCUAUUGCUGCUUCUGUGCAUAUCUCUCUCUUGUAUCGCAGCCAUUAAACCUGGCGCGCAAGCACAAGAAGGCUGCUCGCCCGAGCGAUGCGGCAACCUGACCAUUUCUUCUCCGUUCGGGCUCGUCUCGGUGUUGGAGGAGAACAGGUGCGCUCAACUUGGUUUCCAGGUCCACUACACCAACGGCACCCCGUACCUUUGGUACUAUGAGCACGGGUUCGGGCUACAGAUCCUCAACAUAUUCUACAGCGACGGUUCCUUGCUCGUCGCCGAUGUCCACAAGCUAGGAGACUUCGAAAGUUCAAGCCAUGAAGGCUGCCAUGUACCGGUGACAAAUACCUCCUCCAAAAUCGGGCAUCCGUUCUCGAUUAGCAACAUGAAUCAGAACAUCAUCUUCUACAACUGCACCAAGGCGCCACCGUUGGAUAUCGUAAGGCGAGCAGGGCUUGUGGAGACGGUAUGCCGCAACAACACCUUUGUCCGCACAGGAGGGCAUUACAGUGAGAGGGACGGCGGCUAUGCUUUAGAGGGAUGCAAUGCUAUCUUCCUUCCGGUACUGGCAGCAUCCGGCGAGGCGAACGCAAGUGAUUAUGAGGGGCUAAUCACCAAUGGCUUCCUCCUGACAUGGCGGCAGCCGCCUGCUGGUAGUGGUAUCAAGGUGAUUAGCAAAAGGAUACUCAUACUAAUAGUUUCAUCAGCGGUUUCAACCUUGCUCUUUCCAUGCAUUUGUGUGAUGAUGAGGCAUCCCAAGGGGAAAAGACUAUGGUCUCGCAGCAAAAGGACUAGCAGCGGCACUGAAAGGAAUUACGAGGUCAUGAUAUUAUCAUAUGGAUCACUAGCCCCCAAAAGGUACACGUACUCAGAGGUAAUGAAGAUAACAUCUUCUCGCAAUCAUGAGCUUGGAAAGGGUGGUUAUGGUGUGGUUUUCAAAGGAAGACUACAUGAUGAUCGACUGGUUGCUGUGAAAUUCUUGCAUGACUGCAAAGGAAAUGGGGAUGAGUUUGUGAAUGAGGUUAUGAGCAUUGGGAGAACCUCUCAUGUUAAUAUUGUUAGCUUAUUUGGGUUUUGUUUGGAGGGAUCAAAACGAGCUCUUAUAUAUGAGUACAUGCCUAAUGGUUCCUUGGAUAGGUAUAUUUACUCAGAGAACCACAAAGAAAUUUUAGGAUGGGAGAGGCUGUAUGCUAUAGCAAUCGGGAUUGCUCGUGGCCUAGAAUACUUGCACCAUAGUUGUAAUACACGGAUCGUUCAUUUUGAUAUCAAGCCUCACAAUAUCCUUCUAGACAGGGAUUUUUGCCCAAAGAUUGCUGAUUUCGGUCUAGCUAAAUUGUGUCAUGCAAAGGAGAGCAAGCUAUCAAUGACAGGUGCUAGAGGAACAAUUGGGUUCAUUGCUCCAGAAGUUCACUCUCGGACAUUUGGAGUUGUUUCAACCAAGUCAGAUGUUUAUAGUUAUGGAAUGAUGUUGUUAGAGAUGGUUGGGGGCAGGAAAAAUGUGAAAUAG
rnacentral:rRNA from 1 species